rnacentral:rRNA from 1 species
GUGGGAACGUACCCUUCACUACGGAAUAGCUUCUGGAAACGGAAGGUAAUACCGUAUACGCCCUCCGGGGGAAAGAUUUAUCGGUGAAGGAUCGGCCCGCGUUAGAUUAGUUUGUUGGUGGGGUAAUGGCCUACCAAGACUACGAUCUAUAGCUGGUCUGAGAGGAUGAUCAGCCACACUGGGACUGAGACACGGCCCAGACUCCUACGGGAGGCAGCAGUGGGGAAUCUUGCACAAUGGGCGAAAGCCUGAUGCAGCCAUGCCGCGUGAAUGAUGAAGGCCUUAGGGUUGUAAAAUUCUUUCGCCAGGGAUGAUAAUGACAGUACCUGGUAAAGAAGCCCCGGCUAACUUCGUGCCAGCAGCCGCGGUAAUACGAAGGGGGCUAGCGUUGUUCGGAAUUACUGGGCGUAAAGCGCGCGUAGGCGGGCUAUUAAGCCAGAUGUGAAAGCCCGGAGCUCAACUCCGGAAUUGCAUUUGGAACUGGUAGCCUAGAGACCAGGAGAGGUUAGCGGAAUACCGAGUGUAGAGGUGAAAUUCGUAGAUAUUCGGUGGAACACCAGUGGCGAAGGCGGCUAACUGGACUGGUACUGACGCUGAGGCGCGAAAGUGUGGGGAGCAAACAGGAUUAGAUACCCUGGUAGUCCACACC